rnacentral:rRNA from 1 species
UACGGAGGGUGCGAGCGUUGUCCGGAAUCACUGGGCGUAAGGCGCGUAGGCGGCCUGAUAAGUAGGGGGUGAAAUCUUGCGGCUUAACCGCAAGGCUGCCUUCUAAACUGUCGGGCUCGAGCACAGUAGAGGCAGGUGGAAUUCCCGGUGUAGCGGUGGAAUGCGUAGAUAUCGGGAGGAACACCCGUAGCGAAGGCGGCGCUCUGGGCCGGUACUGACGCUGAGGAGCAGAAG